UGCCAAUGCGCGGCUACCAUGCAGUCGAGCGGUAGCACAGAGAGCUUGCUCUCGGGUGACGAGCGGCGGACGGGUGAGUAAUGUCUGGGAAACUGCCUGAUGGAGGGGGAUAACUACUGGAAACGGUAGCUAAUACCGCAUAACGUCGCAAGACCAAAGUGGGGGACCUUCGGGCCUCAUGCCAUCAGAUGUGCCCAGAUGGGAUUAGCUAGUAGGUGGGGUAACGGCUCACCUAGGCGACGAUCCCUAGCUGGUCUGAGAGGAUGACCAGCCACACUGGAACUGAGACACGGUCCAGACUCCUACGGGAGGCAGCAGUGGGGAAUAUUGCACAAUGGGCGCAAGCCUGAUGCAGCCAUGCCGCGUGUGUGAAGAAGGCCUUCGGGUUGUAAAGUACUUUCAGCGGGGAGGAAGGCGAUAAGGUUAAUAACCUUGUCGAUUGACGUUACCCGCAGAAGAAGCACCGGCUAACUCCGUGCCAGCAGCGGCCGGUAAUAA
rnacentral:rRNA from 1 species